rnacentral:tRNA from 1 species
GUCGGAGUGGCGGAAUUGGUAGACGCGCUGGGCUUAGGACCCAGUGGGGUAAUACCCGUGGGGGUUCGAGUCCCUCCUCCGACA